UACGGGGGGAGCAAGCGUUGUUCGGAUUUACUGGGCGUAAAGGGCGGGUAGGCGGCCACCGCAAGUCGACUGUGAAAUCUCCGGGCUUAACCCGGAAAGGUCAGCCGAUACUGCGGGGCUAGAGUGCAGAAGGGGCAACUGGAAUUCUCGGUGUAGCGGUGAAAUGCGUAGAUAUCGAGAGGAACACCUGCGGCGAAGGCGGGUUGCUGGGCUGACACUGACGCUGAACUGCGAAAGCGUGGGGAGCAAACAGG
rnacentral:rRNA from 1 species